UGUUUAACUUUUGGGGAUGUUAUAUGUAUAAAGGAAAUGCUGCCGAAAUUUCGGUAGGCAAAUAUGUAAUGAAUUUGGAGUCUUAAGUCUUGAAUUUGACAAUUGGUAAACAUGACCAUUUGUAGAUUCUGGACGAGAUUGGAAUCGAAGCCAAGCGAGCGUAAGGCGCAAUCGAGGUACAGACGCACCUGAAGAUACGCCGCCAGUCUAGGGCUCAGAUUCUGCUAUUUUGAAGAGCUCCUUUGGUCCGGAGCGUGUACUUUUGGUAUAUAUCUUCUGUCUUCUGUAUAUUCUGUAUGUAUGGCAACUCCGGGUACGGCGGGGCCCUGUCCCGUCAUAUGACUCUGUCGGUCUGUUUAGAGGUCUGUGGACAUGUUUGUGGGUUAGGGUCUUUCUGUACGGAUGUGUGUAUAUGUUGUGUUUGGGGCGACCCCAUUCGCCGCGGCGGCCGGUCCGCAUAUGUUUAUAUAUUGCUUUGCUGGCCGGUGUGGCCUUUGUUGGUAUUUUCUGUGCGCAGGGUUAUUUUGGAUAGUAUGUAAAACAAAGGAAACUCUGCCAAAAUUUUUCUGGAAAUUAUCUAAAUUUGAAAUAUAGCCUUGACGGCUUCUGCUUUA